GUUGAACGCUGGCGGCGUGCCUAAUACAUGCAAGUCGAGCGACGCGUGGACGGGUGUGUAACACGUCGAUAACCUCCCAUAAGACUGGGUUUACCUCGGGAAACCGGAACUAAUCCGGAAUCUUAUACCUGGAUACGCGCUGCAUUAGCUAGUUGGUAAGGUAACGGCUGACCAAGGCAAUGAUGCAUAGCCGACCUGAGAGGAUGAUCGGCCACACUGGAACGGGGACACGGUCCAGACUCCUACGGGAGGCAGCAGUAGGGAAUCUUCCACAAUGGGCGAAAGCCUGACGGAGCAACGCCGCGUGAGUGAUGAAGGUCUUCGGGUCGUAAAACUCUGUUAUUAGGGAAGCGGUACCUAAUCAGAAAGCAACGGCUAACUACGUGCCAGCAGCCGCGGUAAUAC
rnacentral:rRNA from 1 species